GACGAACGCUGGCGGCGUGCUUAACACAUGCAAGUCGAGCGGUAAGGCCUUUCGGGGUACACGAGCGGCGAACGGGUGAGUAACACGUGGGUGAUCUGCCCUGCACUUCGGGAUAAGCCUGGGAAACUGGGUCUAAUACCGGAUAUGACCUCCUAUCGCAUGGUGGGUGGUGGAAAGAUUUAUCGGUGCAGGAUGGGCCCGCGGCCUAUCAGCUUGUUGGUGGGAUAAUGGCCUACCAAGGCGACGACGGGUAGCCGACCUGAGAGGGUGACCGGCCACACUGGGACUGAGACACGGCCCAGACUCCUACGGGAGGCAGCAGUGGGGAAUAUUGCACAAUGGGCGAAAGCCUGAUGCAGCGACGCCGCGUGAGGGAUGACGGCCUUCGGGUUGUAAACCUCUUUCAGCAGGGACGAAGCGCAAGUGACGGUACCUGCAGAAGAAGCACCGGCUAACUACGUG
rnacentral:rRNA from 1 species